CUACACUGAUGUAUUCAACGAGUUCACACUUGGCCGACAGGCCGGGUAAAUCUUGAAAUUUCAUCGUGAUGGGGAUAGAUCAUUGCAAUUGUUGGUCUUAAACGAGGAAUUCCUAGUAAGCGCGAGUCAUCAGCUCGCGUUGACUACGUCCCUGCCCUUUGUACACCGCCCGUCGCUCCUACCGAUUGAAUGAUCCGGUGAAGUGUUCGGAUCGCGGCGACGUGGGUGGUUCGCGCCCGCGACGUCGCGAGAAGUCCACUAAACCUUAUCAUUUAGAGGAAGGAGAAGUCGUAACAAGGUUUCCGUAGUGAACCUGCGGAAGGAUCAUUG